rnacentral:rRNA from 1 species
AUUGAACGCUGGCGGCAGGCCUAACACAUGCAAGUCGAACGAGUGGCGGACGGGUGAGUAAUGUCUGGGAAACUGCCUGAUGGAGGGGGAUAACUACUGGAAACGGUAGCUAAUACCGCAUACCAUCGGAUGUGCCCAGAUGGGAUUAGCUAGUAGGUGGGGUAACGGCUCACCUAGGCGACGAUCCCUAGCUGGUCUGAGAGGAGGACCAGCCACACUGUAACUGAGACACGGUCCAGACUCCUACGUGAGGCAACGGUGGGGAAUAUUGAACAGUGGGCGCAAGCCUGAUGCAGCCAGGCCGCGUGUAUGAAGAAGGCCUUCGGGUUGUAAAGUACUUUCAGCGGGGAGGCGUUACCCGCAGAAGAAGCACCGGCUAACUCCGUGCCAGCAGCCGCGGUAAUGC